rnacentral:rRNA from 1 species
GAACUGGAGAGUUUGAUCCUGGCUCAGAUUGAACGCUGGCGGUAGGCCUAACACAUGCAAGUCGAACGGUAACGGACCGCUGGGAUUCCUUCGGGAUGACCUUGGUGCCGACGAGUGGCGGACGGGUGAGUAACACGUAGGAAUCUGCC